AUGGACGGCGAGUGGUGGAGGAAGAAGUGGGUGGCGUGGGCGGCGGCAGCGGCCAUCUUCGUGGUGCUCAUGCUCAUCACGCCCGCCAUCCCGCAGGACAACGACUACCACGACUUCGUCGACCAGCGCGUCCUCUUCCUCGCUGUGCAUAAAAAAUAUUAUACAAGAAUGUGCCACCGGCGAUGGGUGCAAACGGCUGUAAAUGUGGACGACCACAUCGUCAUCCCAAGAGUCGGCGGCUGGCGCUGGCGUCCACGACCUCACCAAAGCAAGGAAAGAAGGAGGAGCAGGCUCCAGCGUCAGGUGCCUAAGAUCGGCACACCUCCUCCCGAUCGACCCAGACCAGCGCCAUGGCAACAAGCUUGCCCCCCUACCCCGACCUUGAAGUUGAGCGGCCGAUACCACCAUGACUUGGCGGCACAGCUGGUGGAACCGGCGUCCAUAAGCGAGCCAUCGUCCAGAUGGCCGCCGCGCUUCCGCUCAGUA
rnacentral:rRNA from 1 species